GAAGUUUCACUAUUUUAUUUUUUUGGAAAAGACAUUUUCCUGUUCUCUUGGUCGCAGUCCAUCUUCCUCUCCUUUUUCUCUCUUUUCUUUGCCUUAUGCUGCACCUUCCCUUAGCCCAGCUAGUCUUCCUAUUCUUUUCUUUCUCUCCUCACGCUUGGGCCAGCAGCUAGCCCAUCAUCCAGGCAACAGCCCAACCCUGCUCCUGUCUUGCACGCACGCCUGCUCGACUCCCUGAUUCUUUCUUCUUUCACGAGCACCAGCAGCAGCUCCAGAAACGCAAGCACCGCCGCCUCCUCUCCUGCACUCUGCAACGCCAUAUUUGAGCCACGCGAAACGUCGCCGCAUCCACAAAAUCGCCCAGCCUCCUCUGCCUUGUCUCCUCCUGCACUGCACCACAAGCCCCUGCACUCUGCCAUGGAGCCCUCCUCUGCCCUAGCGCCACUGGUGGCCAUGGACCCCGCCACCCGAUUCGAGCGAACCGGAGCACCGAAGGCCGAACCGUCGCGUCGGGAGCAUCGCCAUGGAUCCACGAACUGAUUCCGGUGAUUCAUUUCUCCAUCGGUCGACCACAGCUCUCUGAAUUUGGAAUCUGCUUCGACUCCGGCCGCCGCUUGUCCGGACGAUAUUGUCACCGUUGAGGUCCUGAAGAUAAGGAUGCCGAUUGUGAAUACUAGGAGGAUCUAAGGAGUGAGGUCAUGAGGACUACAUCAACUGCCUGUGGCUGAGAUGGAGUCGCUACGCAUUUUACUUCCGCUGUUUUCUGAUUAUAACAAUGUCACGAGACAUUACACUUUGUAAGCCAUUGGGUAUAUUAAUAAUAAAGUUUUGUUUUAUCUUAA